rnacentral:tRNA from 1 species
UGCCCUUUAGCCAAGCGGUAAGGCAGAGGUUUUUGGUACCUCCACGCGUUAGUUCGAAUCUAACAAGGGCAGCCA